rnacentral:rRNA from 1 species
AUGCAACUUGUGCAAAUGAAAUGUCAAUUACGAUCACAAUUAGCUGUGAAGUUUUCUUCUUUGAUAAUGGGGAUUCUCAUAAUAAUACAAACGACUACACCAAUAAAUCCAUGGGAUAAUAUUUGUAAAAUAGCUCCAUUGAGUCCAAUGUUGGUUCUCAGCACCUCAUUACUAUUUGUUCAACAGAACAUCAAAGGUUCAGCUAGCAGUAGCACACCAAGUCUAAACAGGCACAUGUUAAAACUGAGAAUAAAACAGAGGCCAUAUUCUACACCACUAGACCAAAUUAUUCUGCGCAGUUGUAUCCUAUUGAUCUGA